UACGGAGGGAGCUAGCGUUGUUCGGAAUUACUGGGCGUAAAGCGCACGUAGGCGGCUAUUCAAGUCAGAGGUGAAAGCCCGGGGCUCAACCCUGGAACUGCCUUUGAAACUAGAUAGCUAGAAUCUUGGAGAGGUCAGUGGAAUUCCGAGUGUAGAGGUGAAAUUCGUAGAUAUUCGGAAGAACACCAGUGGCGAAGGCGACUGACUGGACAAGUAUUGACGCUGAGGUGCGAAAGCGUGGGGAGCAAACAGG
rnacentral:rRNA from 1 species